rnacentral:siRNA from 1 species
GGCCCUAAGGAAAUUUGUAUGGGC